UACGUAGGGGGCAAGCGUUGUCCGGAUUUAUUGGGCGUAAAGAGCUCGUAGGCGGUUGGGCAAGUCACGUGUGAAAUCUCCACGCUCAACGCGGAGGCGCCACGUGAGACUGCCCUGACUCGAGUCCGGUAGGGGAGCGUGGAAUUCCCGGUGUAGCGGUGAAAUGCGCAGAGAUCGGGAGGAACACCCGUAGCGAAGGCGGCGCUCUGGGCCGGUACUGACGCUGAGGAGCGAAAGCGUGGGGAGCAAACAGG
rnacentral:rRNA from 1 species